rnacentral:rRNA from 1 species
CAGGGUGACAGGUGGUGCAUGGUUGUCGUCAGCUCGUGUCGUGAGAUGUUGGGUUAAGUCCCGCAACCGAGCGCAACCCUCGCCUCUAGUUGCCAGCAUUCGGUUGGGCACUCUAGAGGGACUGCCGGCGACAAGUCGGAGGAAGGUGGGGAUGACGUCAAAUCAUCAUGCCCCUUAUGACCUGGGCUACACACGUGCUACAAUGGUUGGUACAACGAGUUGCGAGUCGGUGACGGCGAGCUAAUCUCUUAAAGCCAAUCUCAGUUCGGAUUGUAGGCUGCAACUCGCCUACAUGAAGUCGGAAUCGCUAGUAAUCGCGGAUCAGCACGCCGCGGUGAAUACGUUCCCGGGCCUU